rnacentral:rRNA from 1 species
GAUGAACGCUGGCGGCGUGCCUAAUACAUGCAAGUCGAGCGAACAGACGAGGAGCUUGCUCCUCUGACGUUAGCGGCGGACGGGUGAGUAACACGUGGAUAACCUACCUAUAAGACUGGGAUAACUUCGGGAAACCGGAGCUAAUACCGGAUAAUAUAUUGAACCGCAUGGUUCAAUAGUGAAAGACGGUUUUGCUGUCACUUAUAGAUGGAUCCGCGCCGCAUUAGCUAGUUGGUAAGGUAACGGCUUACCAAGGCAACGAUGCGUAGCCGACCUGAGAGGGUGAUCGGCCACACUGGAGCUGAGACACGGUCCAGACCCCUACGGGAGGCAGCAGUAGGGAAUCUUCCGCAAUGGGCGAAAGCUUGACGGAGCAACGCCGCGUGAGUGAUGAAGGUCUUCGGAUCGUAAAACUCUGUUAUUAGGGAAGAACAAAUGUGUAAGUAACUAUGCACGUCUUGACGGUACCGAAGCAGAAAGCCACGGCUAACUACGU